rnacentral:rRNA from 1 species
CACUCCUACGGGAGGCAGCAGUGGGGAAUAUUGCACAAUGGGGGAAACCCUGAUGCAGCGACGCCGCGUGAGCGAAGAAGUAUUUCGGUAUGUAAAGCUCUAUCAGCAGGGAAGAAAAAUGACGGUACCUGAGUAAGAAGCACCGGCUAAAUACGUGCCAGCAGCCGCGGUAAUACGUAUGGUGCAAGCGUUAUCCGGAUUUACUGGGUGUAAAGGGAGCGCAGGCGGUGCGGCAAGUCUGAUGUGAAAGCCCGGGGCUCAACCCCGGGACUGCAUUGGAAACUACCGAACUAGAGUGUCGGAGAGGUAAGUGGAAUUCCUAGUGUAGCGGUGAAAUGCGUAGAUAUUAGGAGGAACACCAGUGGCGAAGGCGACUUUCUGGACGAUAACUGACGUUGAGGCACGAAAGUGUGGGGAGCAAACAGGAUUAGAAACCCGGGUAGUCCCAUG